rnacentral:rRNA from 1 species
AACGAACGUUGGCGGCAUGCCUAACACAUGCAAGUCGAACGAGACCUUCGGGUCUAGUGGCGCACGGGUGCGUAACGCGUGGGAACCUGCCCUUAGGUUCGGAAUAACUCCCCGAAAGGGGUGCUAAUACCGGAUAAUGUCUUCGGACCAAAGAUUUAUCGCCUUUGGAUGGGCCCGCGUUGGAUUAGCUAGUUGGUAGGGUAAAAGCCUACCAAGGCGACGAUCCAUAGCUGGUCUGAGAGGAUGAUCAGCCACACUGGGACUGAGACACGGUCCAGACUCCUACGGGAGGCAGCAGUGGGGAAUAUUGGACAAUGGGCGAAAGCCUGAUCCAGCAAUGCCGCGUGAGUGAUGAAGGCCUUAGGGUUGUAAAGCUCUUUUACCCGGGAUGAUAAUGACAGUACCGGGAGAAUAAGCUCCGGCUAACUCCGUG